CAUGUUGAUUUAUAUAAUAUACGUACGUAAUUAGUACGAUAUUAAAGGUGGUAUUACGAUCUUAGCAGCAAAUGCACGAAGUUCCUCCAAUUAUUCGAAUUAUUAUUUCCACUUCGCUUCGCGCCGCUCUUUAAUAUAUCAUUAAUAAAUAUUUUUAAUUCUGCAACGCAAUUCCAUAAUGAUCGUUAAUAACGUGUAUAUUAGGUGAUAUAUUCUCGCGUAAUGUAAUAAACAAUUGAUCGAUGAUUCAGGUGCUAUCGAUUACAUGAAGGAGAAAAACGAUACGCAAGGUACCAAACAAGACGCGGUUCACCCUGUUUUUAACGCGAUACGCAUCAAUUGAGCUGAGGCCGUGGCAAUUAACGCGCUUCUCAUCGCCUAUCAAGGAGCCAACCUCGAGAAAAACGCACUUGAACCAAUUUGCGACGUGGGAAAACGCGACAGGGUGCAUUUCCCAUCGAUUCGAUCGAUAAAUUCUAAAGUAUCAUCAAGGGAUAAUAAUAAUUAACAGCAUUGGUACCAACCGAUGGUUUUCUAAAUUCACUUCCAAUUUCUUUCUUAUACGACUUCGUAAAUUAAUUUAUUUAGUUUGGUUUUUCAGACGAGCGAAAGCAAUCUGUCUGCGAGGAUCAGCUCUUCCUCUCUUUCCUUCGAAAUAAAUAGCAGAUAAGCCAGAACACAGAGUAAAAUGAGCGAAAGAGUACAUUUAUUCCUUGCUUCUUACUUUAUUUACAUCUAUCUAUUUACUCGUAACAGAAGUAGUACGAAAGUAAUAUGACUCACGUAGAAUUAUUCUUUUACUCUAUUCUUGAAACUGUCAAUUAUUUCUUCUGUAUGUUUUUUGAAACGGCAAAUACAGUAAAUUGAAAACAAAGGUUAACAGGAAGGUUUGUUAUAUCCAUCUGAUAUCCCGAAACGAGUCAAUAAAGGAAGCGAGUGUGGAAUGAUGACACUGAAAGGUUGAAGAAGAAAUUUCUAAACGUAAAAUAAGAUAAACUAACAAUGCUAAUAUGGAAUAUAGUCGACAGGGAAGAGAGAACUUUGUACUUGUUCGUUUACAUCAGUUUACAGAAUUGAUUUUCCCUGUCAUAAAAUAAAAAAUAUAAUCAAGGACAACGAAGUGCUUCGAACGUAUUGUACGUGUGGCACAAACGCGUCCUCUGACAUCGCGCAUACUUCUGUUUUGUUAGAAAAGCUUCCUUGACCCGUGACAUCAAUUUUUAUCUUCGCGCACGCGGAAAAAAUCAUCGACGUUUAAUUGCGAAAAGAAAAAAAGGAAGAGAAGAAAAAAUAUUGAAGAUUUCGUUGGCAAUAAGAAGAAAAGGAUUACGGUCCAAUUAAAACACGAUCUUUCCUCGUAAACAAGCAACUUCAUAUUUCACCGUUCGUAGAUAAAAGAGUCGCGCAUUGAAUUAUCGAUACAACGUACUCAAUUAUUUUUAUCGAUAAUAGUUCGCCUGUUAUUGACACUGGUCACAUGUUUUGCUAACUUGUUGUUUGAACUGUUGACUUAUCGAUAUUUUUUUUUCUUUGUUAUCAUGAAUUUAUCGAUUUUGAUAGCCUUGGAAUUAAUUAGACUUUACUUUUUAGUUGGCGUAGUGUCGUCGUUAACGAUAGAUAAUUGACAAAACGGCACGCGAAUGGGUCGAGGCCUCUCCGCAAAAACCAGUUGGUCUGGAAACGAGUUCGUGAGAAUCGGAGAACAGUUAUGCACGACCGAUCUGAGGAAAAAUCGUAAAACGUCAACACCACUCGCUAUGCGUUCAAGAGGCACCAUUAUAGUAUCGCGUUUCAGGAAAAGAUUCUUCUGGAUUAAAAAUAGAUGUAAUAAAAAAUAAUGGAAAACGCA